UGCACCAAUUUGUAAGUCGCUCUGGAUAAGAGCGUCUGCUAAAUGUCGUAAAUGUAAAUGUUUUAAGAGCCAUCCACAUUGCAAUAAGAGUAUUCUUCCAUUGACUUAGCUUCGUUAACUGCAGUUAUUACAUUCCCAGUUUCUCUCCUUUUGAGUUCUACUUCUCAGGUGAGGACGUCUGUACAAAAACAAAACAGGCUCUUUUAAGAGUGACCCAUAUUGAAAACAAUUAGACACCCUAUAACCCACACCUACACACUCAAUCUGAUUGAUGGAUUGUGCAGUAAGCAGGCUCAGGUGUAGAACUGUGGCUCCUUCCACCUCCAAAAGGACAGGCCAGAGGACCAACCAUGGAGAAUAGUUAUAUCAGCUGUGUCGGUGAACCCCUCCCGCAUCUGAACUGGCUACACAGAGGGCACAGCAUGAUCAGAGGUAUGUUUUGAUGGGUGCCAACCUCCAGUCCAGUCCAUCUCACCCGCUCUUAAGAUCACCUUCUGGCCAACUGGGGGCCCAAGGCUGUUAGGAGACACCGCUAGAGACACUAUUAUGUAAUUGUGAUGACCUGAGAGAAUAUUAGGGUAGCACUGUAAUUCAUUAAUCAUAUGCUGUCUUCCCUAGUAGCACUGUAAUUCAUUAAUCAUAUGCUGUCUUC